rnacentral:rRNA from 1 species
GAGAAGUCCACUAAACAUUAUCAUUUAGAGGAAGGAGAAGUCGUAACAAGGUUUCCGUAGGUGAACCUGCGGAAGGAUCAUUG